rnacentral:rRNA from 1 species
UUCUACAGCCAUGCUACCCUGAACAAGCCUGAUCCCAUCUGAUCUUGGAAGCUAAGCAGGGUCAGGCCUGGUUAGUACUUGGAUGGGAGACCACCUAGGAAGACCAGGUGCUGUAGGCA